rnacentral:lncRNA from 1 species
UGGGGAAUAAAAGACUGAUGCAAGCAAGAAAAAACCAGACCAAUGCUUAGUUGGACAAAGAAAGAAGCAGUGUCCAUUCCAAUAAAUGGGAAAUUCAGCAUGGAGAGCAGCACAGCAUUUUUACUUUCUGCCCCAGGUGAAAAUUUGGUUCACUCCUGCUGAUGAGCAUUGUUAGUCAAGCACUGAAAUACAGAGAAGUUAGUGAAAGUGAAAAAAGUUAGACCGAGUGAUUGCCAGUUUAGACAUAACAGCCAAUUUCUAAAGUGAAAGUUUCACAGUUUGUAUUGCAACAACAGAGAUAAAGAAGAAGAAGAAUUUGUUUUGUCAAUUGGGUUCUAAAGUAAUUGAACCAGCAUGUGUGGAAGUUUGACGAAAAAGGGAAUUAUUUAAAGCUCUACAUUCGACUGUGGUAAACAAUAGUGUAAUGAAUUUUUGUACAUAUGUUGA